AGUCCACCCUCUACAGGGGUGGACUGAGCACUUACUUUUAUCAUGAUCAAUUGGUAUAUUAUAAAUAAGAGACAAAAGUAUACCAUUCACUCAAAAUAGUGACAGAUUUUUUCCUAACAUAUUCUCAUUCUUAACAUUACAAAAGCCCAUCUCCUUGCCCAUGGGAAUUCCUGCAGCACAGGCGGUCAUCAACACAUUAGUCUGCUUUGUCUGUACUAAAACCUCUUCAAAAUAUAUAUGUGAAGCCUUUGCCCCCACCCUCAUGAGAAGACCUGCUCAUAGGGAGGAGUCCACACAAAUGAGCUCUGUGCAAGGGAUUCCUGUUUGCCCAGCCCCAGCAGUGGAGCAUCAGUUUCCUUCUGUAAAUAUCAGCUUUUAAAAAAUACUGGUUUUCAGAAAAUAAAUGACUAGUGCAUAGAAGCAGGUGUCUUUACACAGAGAAUCGACAGGCUGUAAUUUAGCUAAGCUGCCUGCAGCCUCCUUCCAAGAUCCUAGAAAUUUAGGUUGAGGAACUACAGUCUACCAGAGGAAGAAGAACCCUUCCUAGUGGAAAAGCAGUUUUAAAUGUAGGCACAAGGUUCGUGUGACUUACCAAUUGCAAAACCAACUCCAAAGUUCGGAGCUAUGAGUCCAUAAAUGUUUUUUGCAAAUGGAAUCUGUAAGAGGAAAUAAAUGUUAUGCUAAAAUAACAAGAGAUCCAACUCUAAAUCAUCUCGGAAAGUCUUGAACUUGUGUUUUCUCUGGGCGUGGUAUGCCUGUUCCCUUCUGAAGAAAACAGGAGGAAGGGUGGGGUUUGUGAAGAACCAGACCCUCCAAAUCUUUAAAAGUCAAAGCUUGAAACGAGUUUUAUGACCACCAUGAAAAACUUGUCACCGGCAUAUGUGAAAGAUCAGCCUAGUCCACCCUCAAGUUUUGACAAGAACAAGUAGGCCUCAUGAGGGAUGGAUAUUGGCCAUUGGUAGAAGAGAUUUUAUUCUAGAAAAACAUCUUGCUAUUGUUUCAGGUUGGUUGUCCUGAAGUGUUUAAGACACUGUCAAGCUUAAGAUGAUGCAGGGGAAAAGUUAAACUGUGAAAUAAAACAUUUUAAAUAAUUUCUGACAUAAAAUGAAAAUGCACUCCUUGGAAAGUCUUGUCCAAACAUUUUUAAGAUGAUAAAAAAUUAGAAUAAAAUGAAAGCUGUAAUAAAAUAUCAACAAACUCAAACGUAAAA
rnacentral:antisense_RNA from 1 species